GAAUGCCAUUUGGUCCUACAUCCUCUCUGUUAAGCUCCAACAACCAAAUGAGCUUAGGCAGUAAGAAUAAAUCGAACUCUGUACAUUUUAAAGAUGUUCCUGAAGUUGACAUCAACCCACAAUACAUGUCAAGCUACAGAGCCAAUACUUUGUAUAUAAACACUGCACAACCUGAACGACAAGUAAUUGGGAAAAGAAAUGUCCGUAUAACUGCAAAAAACAAACCAACCAUAACAGAGGACGUGAGGUCCCAUAUACCACCGGAACCUUUUCAUGUUAGCGAACUCAAUUCGUGGAAUGCAAUAUCAUCGUUAUCACCUCGCAACAAAAUGAAGGAUUUAUCAAAAGUUUCUGAAAAGAGCAAAGCUUUGGAAAAGUUGAAAGAAGUCAUUAACUUCCAGAAACAUAACAGGUCGUCCUCGGACCAUGACAUAUCGCAACCAACAAGCACUGAUGUAAUGAAUUAUGUUCAUGGAGAUAUGGGACGAAAGAUUGCAGUAGUUUCUGCACCUCCAGUAUAUAAGGGAUUUAAUGAAGCGAAGACAAGAGUAAGGAGCGUUGUCCGUUUAAACGAAGAUGAGACAAUUAAGUCAACUAUUAAGUCAUCAAAUGAAACUAAAAGAAAAAAAGAAUCCGCCAAAGUAAACGUUACUGAUCACCGACCUACAGCAAGGAAAUCAAGGAAAACUGGAAAACCCACAAUCUUGGAAAGAAAUCAGUUUUCAACGACGCCUUCAUCGUGGAAAAAAGGGAAAGUUAUUGCUGAACGAAUCUUGCAAAUUCCGUCACAGAAAAAUGAAAAUUUUGCACCGGAUACUAUAUUACGUCUACACCAACCACCAGCUGAAGAACCACCUUUGUCAGGAUCUUCCCAAUUAACUGAAGAUCAUCAUGUCACAGAUGCUCAAGAUGUACCAGGUAUUUUAUCCGAACAAACGAGAAGUAUCCUUCAUGAUAUUCAACUAACCCCUACUAAACAAACAAGAAAACCAAUGAAACGACGACCAAAACCAACUACACUGAGUGCUCAUAAAACGAAAUCAGGUGCGGGUCAAAAGCCUCCCAAAAUCCGCCAUUACGACAGAGAUGAAGUGAAGCAUUACAUGGCAGGGCAAAAGUUAGCGAGAAAAAAGGAAAUGUUGGAUUCAAUGAAAAAGCAAAAAGAAGCAAAAGAGCGAAAACUUCAACAGCUCAAAAUGUUGGAUGAGAAACGCAAAGAAGGAAGAUGGAAAACACAUCAUGAAAAGACACAAAAAUCAUAUGCAGAUUCUGUGGAUCUAACUGCUAUUUCAAACACAACAAGCACCAAAUUUGAAAGGCCCCAAUCUUCUAUUAGUAACAACAGCAGUCCUUUAUCACGACAAGUUCCAGGAUUCCUUGAAAAACUUGACAUGUACCUCAAUGAUGGUACAUCACACAUACCAUAUGAAGAUGAUUCAAUUGUUGUGAAAAUAAAUGAAGAUAAGGAUACUUCCCAAAGAUCCGAAGCAAUAAAUCCAGCUGAUAAAGAACUAAACAUUUAUAAAUCGUCAUUGACAUCAAAACUUGAUCGAAUAGCUGCGCUCAAAGAAAAAUCAAAAUCUUUACAGGACAAAAUAGCUUUUCAGUCACAGAGAAUAUUACACAAGUCACCAGUGGUUGAAACACCUCCUGCAAAUGUUCAAUAUGAUAAAGAUACAACAUAUGAAAAAAUUGAUAAUGACAAACGAUAUGAAAAAAUGUUUGAACCUCUUGUGGAAAAUGUCAACGACGAUGUUAAUGUCAUUCAACGAGACGAAACGAACUAUGCAGUGUCUGGUAGUAUGAAUAGUUCCAGCAGCACUGCUAUCUCCUCACAAGAAAACAGUCGGUCAAUAUUUGAAGAUAUACCUCAAGAAAAUCAACCAUCAUUUACUGGACAUGAAGAAGCAGACCCGAUUUUAUCCAAACCAAUGCUUAACAAACCAUUGGAUAAUCUUCUCCAAGUUGAGUUCUGCAGCGAGAAAAAUCUACCAAAGCCAAAAGAAAGCAUUGUUGUUGCAUCAGAAUUUGAACAUUUUCACACCAAACCUGGAUUUGGUGAUAAAUGGGGAAUACCCAGUGGUGAUAAACAUAGUGUGGCAAAUGUAUUCAGUCGUCGUUUUGUUCAUUAUGCUUCUCCUACCAGAGAAACAAAAAACCAGAACCAAAAGAACAGGAAACUGCAACGCUCUUCUCAUCUUGAUCAUGAGCAUGAUGAUAUUCCAUUACAUGAGUCACCAGUUUUAUCACAUGAACCAGUGUUGUCAGCUUCACUUCAUGACCCAGUGUUGCCAGCUUCACUUCACGACCCAGUGUUGCCAGCUUCACUUCAAGACCCAGUGUUGCCAGCUUCACUCCGCGACCCAGUGUUGCCAGCUUCACUCCGCGACCCAGUGUUGCCAGCUUCACUUCGCGACCCAGUGUUGCCAGCUUCACUUCGGGAUCCAGUGUUGCCAGCUUCACUUCGCGACCCAGUGUUGCCAGCUUCAAAACCUGACCCAGUGUUGCCAUCGACGAACGAACCUCUCCCACCCUGUGAUGUUGACAGCCUGAUAACAUGGUCACAUAAACUUAAGCAGGAAUCCAGCCACGACGAAAGUGUUGCCAGUUCAGUAUCAACUUUUAAUGAAGAUGACUAUCUACCUAAAGCUCGUACGACUCACGAAACAAGUUUAAAAUAUUCCCCUACAACAUUGGGGCAACGGAUGUGUUUAGAACUGAACAGAUUUGAAACUGUAGACGGGGCAAUAAACCAGAUCAAUCAAACUGAAUGUGUUGGUGCAAUCUCACUAGCACAACAGGAAACUGUAUCUAUUGGUCAAGUACUACAGUCCCGACAACUUGAACAUCAGCGAGAACUUGAUCGAUUAGCCCAGGAAGCCAAAGCUGCUGCUGAGAUCAAAUAUUCGUUAGAACAGAAGAAAGAAUCAUCAGCUGAACCUGAGAGUGAAUAUGCCAUAGUACCACCAGUCUCCAGUGAAUAUGAUACCAAUGUACCACCCCUUUCCUCACUACGAAUGCACUCAUAUGCCUUAUAUUCUGAAGACAGCACAUUGGAAGGGACUUCCCCUGACAGCUCUUUAUCAAUCAAACUAAAAUCACCUGCUGGGAAAUCCCCGGUUCGAACAUUUCGAAACGAGUACUCUGAUGACAGUAAAAGUAUUUCCGAAGAUAUCAGCUUAUCAGUAACAAAGGAACCAUCCACCUCCAGCAUACACGAUGAUAUAACAGCCAGUACAUCGGAUACAAUACACGAUAAAGAUGAUUCACUCGACACAAGCGUUACAUUCGACGAAAGUUUAACUGAGGAUGAAAUAGCUGAAAUAUCAAGACGAGCUAUUGUGCCUUCGGAAAGCCAGAGGCGUCACCAGCGUAAGCUUGCUUCACCACAUCUUGUGAAAUCAACAUCAUAUACUGAUCCAUCAUCAGAUGAAGCUAUGCAGAACAUUAGUGGGAGCCAUACACCUCAAACUUCUUUAUUUGGAGAUUCUGAGUUCAGUGGGUUCAACCAGUUCAUGAGUUCGACAGUGCAACAAUAUAGGUUGGAGCAGGAGGUGCGAGCCAAGCACCGAUCAGCUAUGCUGAAGUUGAGAGAAAAGGCUAUAAAAGAAAAAACCGAAGCUGAGUUAGCUUGGUUGGAACAGCAGAAGAAAAGUUUCCGCAACAAAGGAGAGGACGAUAAAAUGCCUCCGAUAAAAAAGAAGAAAAGAGCGAUUUUGCUACGACUGAAACUUGAAACUGACGGGAUCAAAAAAUUAAGAGCUGCAAACAGAGCUGCAAACCAGGAUUAUGAGUUGAUUUUACAACAUCAUCAAGAUAUAAACAGAAUUGUGCAAACUACAAAUCAAAUUAAAGAAAAAAUCAAAUCUUCGAAAAAAUCAUCUGACGCCGGUCACGAUGAUAAUCAAACUUCAUCCAAUCAAUCAGAAGAUCGUAAAACACCAAGCUUACUCGACCCAAAAAAGGAACUUCACAGAAGUUUAAAGAAAGUCCCGAGUGUGUUGGACGAUAGGAAACUUACAACACGGGAAAAAGCUUUGUUGAAACGAAGACGGGACGCCGAACGUUUGCUGGAGUGGAAGAAAAAGUUAGAUGAAGAGGAAAUAAAAGUUAUGAACAUGGAAAAGAGAGCAAUAUCAGCAUGGGAUGGUAAACCAUUACAUGAAGUUGAUAAACCUGACUCUAAAGUUAAAACAACCAACAUGAAACGAUCUAAAGGUUACCAAGGUAAAGAUGAAGUUACAACUCAUGAUAAUUCUUCACUGGAUGAAAUAACACAACUUUCAAAAUCUAAUGAAGGGAGAAGUGAAGCAAAGUCAGAUUCAAUCAGCCUUGCAUCAGCCAUCCAUAGUUCAACGCAUGCAAAUAAUUUCAACAAAGACUCGAUGGAAAGUUUAUCAGAUGAAUCAUUCUCGCAAACACAAUCGGAAACUGAACAAAGUGAUGUUGAAUGGAGAGUUUAUGCUUUGAAGGAAGAAUUAAAGAAAUGUCAACUAACUGCUGAACGUUUGAAAAAGCAACAAAAGAAAAAACACAAAGAACAACUUCGUGCUCAAGAAGAAAGUUUGAAAAAUCAAAUAAAGGCGUACAACUCAUACAUCAGGAAAACUCAAACUGAACUUGAGCAAGAAAUUGAUCACGCUACAAAUAACACAUCGUCUCAUCAACCUCACAUCGGUGGCCAUGCGUCAACCAAACCACAAAUACGGAGUCCUCGUAAAAAUGAGCAGUACAUGAAGUCAUCACGUGCAUUGAGGUCAGCGAUUCCUGUGAAUGUAUCAUCACCUGACGCUUCACCGCGAGCGGGAUCACAAAAACAAAUCAUCUCACGAGUUCACACGAAGAGUAAAUCGGACUCCGACAGUAGCACCCGCAGUUCCAGCAGAUCCUUAAGUUUUGACGAUGACCAACAUGUCUUCCAUGAUGAAAUGUCGUUCAAACCAAACUUUCCUUCAACAAACAAACUUGAACCAUCAGUUAAACAUGGGACAUCUGAUGAUGUGAAAAAGGAAAUAAUUGCAAAUGCAGAAAAAUCGGUCCAACCACCACCGUUACCCAAGAAAGCAUCUCAAAUCUUAAAAACUGAGAAAACAGAAAAGAUUGAAGAGGAGAAAAAAGUUCAGGACGUAAAACAACACUUGAUAAAUGAUCAGUCCAACAAACUUGAUGAAAAUGUCUCUCCACACCACGAACCACCAUUUAAACAUCAUGAACAAGAAGAAAGUGAUUCAAACUUUGUUAAAGAAGAUUCAACAUUAAUUGAAGAAGUUGAGAAUAGGGUAAAAGAUGACAUUCUUAACAAACCUCUGACCGAAGAAAUUGUGAAAACUAUUUGGAAUGAAAUAUUAGAAGAAAGUCUAGAUGUAGUUUUGUCAAAAACAAGCCCUCCUUCUACCCAUAUCAGCAAAACUGUGAAAGAGACACCAAGUGUUGAAGACUCGUUGAUCGAUAAUUUGUUGAACUCGCUGUUGAAUGACGCAAUAAACCAUGCUUUAUCAGUACGUCACAAGCAACCGGAAAAUGAAGAAACAGCUGAGAAAUUGCUUGAUGAAGUUAAACAGAAUGAUAUGUUGAAAAAUUCUGAGUCAUUGCCUCGUCCAGUAUCGCCCAUAUUUGGCAGUAGUCAGGAUGACGAAUGGUUUGAAGAGGAUUUUGGAUUUCUCUGAAACAAAAGGAAAACGAACAAAUGCAGGAAAAAGACUUUGAUGAUGGUUGGAUGUUGAAUGUUUCCAACCCUGUGGUUUAUGAACGGAAUAAUAUUCAACAAUUGGUUCACCAAGCUAUUAACAGUAAACAUGAGCAUGAAAGAAAUGCUGGUGAAUUGAUCCCUGCAUCGUUUGGUGAAGAACCAACAGAGUUAUUCGAACAAAGUGUUGCUGACCUGGUUCACCACUUAAUGCCCCAAGUGCUUCCACAAUCAACCGAACCAGCAUAUUCAAAUGAGGGAAUUAAAUUAAAGAAGAAAAAACAUUCAGUCAAGGCCUUGUCACAAUUUAAAUCGGAUUACUCCAAAAGUGUUUCUCAAGAAGUUGAAAAACUUUUCUUCCCGGACACAAAAGUUGCUUUAAAUCAACGCAGUCAAUUUAAAUGGGGAACACUGAAAAAACGUGAUAGAGUUGACUUACUUUUGGUGAACGAACUUCGGAGCGAUGAACAUACAUGGACCGAUUAUGACGCAGAUGAAGUCACUGUGAAGGAACAAUUGUAUCACAUUAUGUUUGAACUCCUCAUUCAAGAUACAAUCACGUCAUUUAAUCGGAUCCACUCUCGAAAA